CUUAAUUGAGAGUCUUCCUGACUAUUGUCGCGUUGGACGUGACAUGUGGCGUGUUAGAGUUCCAAUCUUCUGUUGGGAUGUGGUAAAGGUUCACUUGCCUGAUAGAGUAAUGAGGCAAUUUGGAUUGCAACAGGUGAUUCCAACUCCAUUUGUAUUUGAUUCCACCCACUUUCAUCAUGAUCGUCGGGGAAGGCCAAAUACAAACUGGGAGUUAGAACAUGCACAAUGGUUAUCUUUUUGGAACGAGCGAGAACAAUAUAUCUGUAAUGCACCGGUCAAUCAUGGGCCACUUCGGUAUGACGACCCCUACCUUAUUUGGUUCAGACGUAUUACUCAUCUUCUCAUUGGUAAUCCUAAUCCCCUUCCUCAAUGCUAACAAGGUUAUAUGCCUAAUUCAACUGCAUAUGAAACAAUGGUAAGUAGAACUUUGCUUGUCUGAUUUUUCUUUAUCUAAUAUAUGUUAAUAAUAAUUAGAACCUCCAGAGUAGGAACUUAGCUUUCUUUAAUCUUUUUGAUGCUUGUACGGUUAAAUGAUUUUUACUUUAAUUCACAGGCGCGUCAUAUUCAUUCGAUGGUUGAUAAAGCUAAAUCACUUGGAGAUACGCCAUCGUAUGAGGACUUAUACAUGUUUAGAAAGAUGGUGCGGGAUCAAAGUCUUGAUUGUUUGAGAUAUGUCCAUGAGGCCGACAGGAUUCAUGUAUCAGCUGAUUAUAGAAGAGAUGAGGCACAACCUGAUCAGUUAUGUCCCCCUAUUCGUAGACGAGGAAAAGGCGGUGUUUCUGGAAGAAGAGAACCUGCUAUUUCGAGAGACCAAGUGCCUGUUGAAAUGAAUGAAAUGGAUGAAGCAACGCAAAAUGCUUAAAUAAGUUCAGAAGAUGAUCAAGCAACAACUAAGCAUGAUUUUGGUUCCACUUCAAUGGGUUGCACUCAGGAAUUCUCUCAGGCAUCAGGUAUGACAUAUCAACAUACAGAGAUUGUUCCAUACAUGACUCCACAGACUCCACAAACAUCAAGGUAUCCAAGUCUUUCAUCACUUGAUAAUAUAUUUGGUAGUUAUCGGCCUCAACAUUUUGAGAAUGCCCCAAACUUUACCUCAUCGCCUGUGCCAAUGUCUAUUGAUAUCCCUGAUGCCACUAAUAAUUUGGAGAACUUGAACACUGAGAUGGAAGAUAAUGAGUUGGAUGAUGCCAACAAUGAAGUGAAUGGUAAUGAUUCGAAGCAUGCAAGUAAAGGUUGUGAUAUGACUAUUCAGGAUAAACUAUCAAAGAAGGAGAAACGUACAAUUAUUCCUAAGCUUUGUGGGACUGGUAUUUUUUCAUGUUUAUGUUUUUUUUUUUUAGCUAAACUGCUCUUUUUUAGUUGGAAGAGUUGAAAAUCUACCUUUGCUUGACAGGAAGUCACUAUGCUUACCAGCACGCCGAAAACAAAAAAGUAAAACAAAAAGAAAGAAAAACCAAAAAAGUCAAAAAGUAAAUGGACAAUCUGUAACUAUCAGUAAGAAAAGUUAUUUCAGGAAAAACAUACACUGGAAGUGCUAAAUGGGAAAAAUUUAAAUGAAGGAUUGUGGAACUUCCACCAAGGACAUGAAAAAUUAACUAUGAACAGCACGAGGCAAAGUUCAUACAAAAGAUCAUCGAGGAGGACAUUAACUCAUGGUUACAAUUGGAUUAGAGUCUCGAGUGAAGGACAUUAACUCAUGGUUACAGGAUUAAUCCAGUGAAGUUAGGCAUUGGGGUGAUCUGUGGACUUGUUGGCGUAGGAAAAACCACUGUAGCUAAAGUAGCUUACAACUCGAACUAUGACAGAUUUCUCUAAGCAGAUGAUAUAAGUUAUUCAUUUCACAUAAGUAUGUUUCUCGAUGGAUGAGCUUCAAACCUGUAUUUAUUUUUUAAUUCCGAAGAAUCUGCUUUCCCAAGUAUCGAAUCAUAGAAAGACUAUACAACUUAAGAAGUUGCAGAGAGGGAGGGCUAUUAGAGUUGGUUCCGUUAUGGAAUUUUUGGAACCUGUCCUUUUACUGUACUCUUGUUAACUAU